ACAACGAUUUCAUCAACCGUAACCUUCGUCUUCUCAACCCCAGCCAUGGCCUCUACAAGAUUGACCUCAGCCUCUGCAAGCUUGAUCUCGAGUUCAUCGAUCCUUUUAGCUUGGGCCAAAUUUUUCUCCUUAGCACCUCAGAGUGGGUUUCAGCCGAUGCCAGUUUGGCUAAAGCAACAUCCUUCUCCGCAGCAAGGUGGUCCAUAUUCUUCUUCUACCGGUGGUAGUUGGCCUUGACCUGAUCGACCUCUCCUCGAAGCAACUUGAUCUCAGCCUCAUUUUUUUGAUCCUUGGCCAGGUCAACCCGAAAGUCCUUGAGCUCUUCCUCCUUUGGACUGUAAAGAAGCUUCAGGGUCUUCCCUUCAUCCGAAGUCUUCUGGAGCUCGGCCUCGCAUUGGCUCAGGUUGGCCCUGAACUUGGUGAAAGCCUACAUAGAAAAAAGGAAAUCAGUUAGGGAAAAGAUAGAAG
rnacentral:lncRNA from 1 species